UACGAAGGUGGCAAGCGUUGUUCGGAUUCACUGGGCAUAAAGGGCGCGUAGGCGGCCCGUGUAAGCGGCGUGUGAAAGCCCGGAGCUCAACUCCGGAAUUGCACGUUGUACUGCCGGGCUAGAGGACGGGAGGGGAGUGUGGAACUCUAGGUGGAGCGGUGAAAUGCGUAGAUAUCUAGAGGAACACCGGUGGCGAAAGCGACACUCUGGCCCGUUUCUGACGCUGAUGCGCGAAAGCGUGGGUAGCAAACAGG
rnacentral:rRNA from 1 species